GGUACCAAAAAUGGGACGUGGGAAUUUUUUAUAUUUUUUUAAAGACUUUGCGCGACCAAUACUUAUCUUCACGCAAAACUUUAAAAAUUUGGGCGGUCAUAAAAAAUGGGAAGCGGGAAAAUUAAAUUUUUUUUUUUUAGACUUUGCGCAACCAAUUUUUUUGUCACGCAAAACUUUGCGCAACUAAUAUUCAAAUAUUUUUCGUCGCGCAAAACUUUAUAAAUUUGGGCGGGUAAUGAGAUGUGGAAAAUUUUGUUUUAAAAUUUUGUUUAGACUUUGUGCGACCAAUAUUUUUCGUCGUGCAAAACUUUGAGCGACCAAUAUUUUUCGUCGCACAAAACUUUGCCCGACCAAUAUAUAUUUUUC
rnacentral:lncRNA from 1 species